rnacentral:rRNA from 1 species
UACGUAGGAGGCAAGCGUUGUCCGGAAUUAUUGGGCGUAAAGAGCUUGUAGGCGGUUUGUCGCGUCUGCCGUGAAAAUCCGGGGCUCAACCCCGGACUUGCGGUGGGUACGGGCAGACUAGAGUGUGGUAGGGGAGACUGGAAUUCCUGGUGUAGCGGUGAAAUGCGCAGAUAUCAGGAGGAACACCGGUGGCGAAGGCGGGUCUCUGGGCCGAUACUGACGCUGAGGAGCGAAAGCAUGGGUAGCGAACAGG